CCUUGACUCCUGCUGGUUGCUCCCCUGCUUCAGCCUGACCAAAACCACCCCCUUUACCAGGGGCUGGGAGAAAGCCUGUAUUGGUAGAUAUAUAGCAGCAGUGAACACCUCACUAUACCAGAGACUGAAGGCUUAAGAAGCAGCAUGAGCUGACACUUCUCCAGUUCCUCUUCUUACGGCGGAUCCAGUAAGAUGCAAACUGAGGGGAAGAAGGGCAGGUAGUAGAUUGCAGGUAGGGACCACACAUCUCAAAGGACUUCCAGUUAUAGACAUCCAGCACCGCUAGAAGAUGGAACAGGAACAAAGUCAGUGACCUUACUUCUUGGCUGGAGCGACCUACUAGGAGCCAGUCACCGAAAGACCGGGAAACUGUAUAACCUUGACGUCUCAUUUGGGCUACUACCACACAGGAAAAGUUUGUGAAUACUCUGAGAGCUGCUGCUACUCCACAGGAAGGGACUCUGAACUGGAAGUGUUCUUGAUCCACUAGAAAUAGAAAGAACUUUCUGUGGGACAGAAGAAUAUCAGCAUGAAAAUAGGCAUCCUUCAUGUCAAGAACCACG